rnacentral:lncRNA from 1 species
AGAGGUAUCCUUAAAAUUAUAAGUAGUUUUAUGGAUGUCCAAGCUUAUGCAUGCUCUUCGCACGCAAUUCCUAUCUGUUUACUGUUCUUUUAGCCUACCCGGUUGUGGGCUUGCAAAGUUUUGAUAACCGAAGAUGCUGUUAAGUGCAUGCUACAUAUAUCGAUACCGAGAUCCGGUGGGGCCUUCGUCGCAAAGGGUUGGUUUGUUUUUUGGUUCAUGCACGAGUUCGAUUUAGACAAGCUUUGUGCUUAUUUAACUAGGGAUGCUUGCGUCGGACAUCAAAACAUUUCGAUGGUAGCUUUUUUCUGACACGAUCUUAUCUUUUCCAACGUGGAGUUGCCAGACAACCUUCUAAAGCUCCGGAAAAAGGGGCAGUAUGCACUUCGUUUGGAACCACAACGUGCCAUAAAGUCAGGGUAAGUGAUGGACAGCAAAGUGAGGGAAUGGAAACCACUAAAGCUUGGUGGGCGCUUGGUGGUCAUCGUGAGAAUGGCAGCACGAAUAUAAUAAAUAAAUGAUAAAUAGUUGAUACACGUUCUUCUCACGUCAUCCCACUCCACGUAUCACUCAUGUACAAACGCAUGGACCCCAUACUGAUUACUGCAUUAUCUCGACAUACGCUGAGGUUUAUAGUUUGAGUGUUUCACGAAUGGGUUUAUUAAGUACUGUCAUAUAUAGUAGAAGCGACUCUCUCUCUCUUUCUAACGAUAAAUAGUUGAUACACGCUUUUCUCGAGAAAUUAUUGUCCGGACCACG